rnacentral:rRNA from 1 species
AUGAACGCUGGCGGCGUGCCUCAUCCAUGCCAGUCGAGCGAACAGAUGAGGAGCUUGCUCCUCUGACGUUAGCGGCGGACGGGUGAGUAACACGUGGAUAACCUACCUAUAAGACUGGGAUAACUUCGGGAAACCGGAGCUAAUACCGGAUAAUAUAUUGAACCGCAUGGUUCAAUAGUGAAAGACGGUUUUGCUGUCACUUAUAGAUGGAUCCGCGCCGCAUUAGCUAGUUGGUAAGGUAACGGCUUACCAAGGCAACGAUGCGUAGCCGACCUGAGAGGGUGAUCGGCCACACUGGAACUGAGACACGGUCCAGACUCCUACGGGAGGCAGCAGUAGGGAAUCUUCCGCAAUGGGCGAAAGCCUGACGGAGCAACGCCGCGUGAGUGAUGAAGGUCUUCGGAUCGUAAAACUCUGUUAUUAGGGAAGAACAAAUGUGUAAGUAACUAUGCACGUCUUGACGGUACCUAAUCAGAAAACCACGGCUAACUACGUG